rnacentral:misc_RNA from 1 species
UACGUAGGGUGCAAGCGUUAAUCGGAAUUACUGGGCGUAAGGCGUGCGCAGGCGGUCAUGCAAGACAGAUGUGAAAUCCCCGGGCUCAACCUGGGAGCUGCAUUUGUGACUGCAUGACUGGAGUGCGGCAGAGGGGGAUGGAAUUCCGCGUGUAGCAGUGAAAUGCGUAGAUAUGCGGAGGAACACCGAUGGCGAAGGCAAUCCCCUGGGCCUGCACUGACGCUCAUGCACGAAAGCGUGGGGAGCAAACAGG